rnacentral:rRNA from 1 species
UGUGAGCUCGAUGAGUAGGGCGGGACACGUGGUAUCCUGUCUGAAUAUGGGGGGACCAUCCUCCAAGGCUAAAUACUCCUGACUGACCGAUAGUGAACCAGUACCGUGAGGGAAAGGCGAAAAGAACCCCGGCGAGGGGAGUGAAAAAGAACCUGAAACCGUGUACGUACAAGCAGUGGGAGCACGCUUAGGCGUGUGACUGCGUACCUUUUGUAUAAUGGGUCAGCGACUUAUAUUCUGUAGCAAGGUUAACCGAAUAGGGGAGCCGAAGGGAAACCGAGUCUUAACUGGGCGUUAAGUUGCAGGGUAUAGACCCGAAACCCGGUGAUCUAGCCAUGGGCAGGUUGAAGGUUGGGUAACACUAACUGGAGGACCGAACCGACUAAUGUUGAAAAAUUAGCGGAUGACUUGUGGCUGGGGGUGAAAGGCCAAUCAAACCGGGAGAUAGCUGGUUCUCCCCGAAAGCUAUUUAGGUAGCGCCUCGUGAAUUCAUCUCCGGGGGUAGAGCACUGUUUCGGCAAGGGGGUCAUCCCGACUUACCAACCCGAUGCAAACUGCGAAUACCGGAGAAUGUUAUCACGGGAGACACACGGCGGGUGCUAACGUCCGUCGUGAAGAGGGAAACAACCCAGACCGCCAGCUAAGGUCCCAAAGUCAUGGUUAAGUGGGAAACGAUGUGGGAAGGCCCAGACAGCCAGGAUGUUGGCUUAGAAGCAGCCAUCAUUUAAAGAAAGCGUAAUAGCUCACUGGUCGAGUCGGCCUGCGCGGAAGAUGUAACGGGGCUAAACCAUGCACCGAAGCUGCGGCAGCGACGCUGAUGCGUUGUUGGGUAGGGGAGCGUUCUGUAAGCCUGCGAAGGUGUGCUGUGAGGCAUGCUGGAGGUAUCAGAAGUGCGAAUGCUGACAUAAGUAACGAUAAAGCGGGUGAAAAGCCCGCUCGCCGGAAGACCAAGGGUUCCUGUCCAACGUUAAUCGGGGCAGGGUGAGUCGACCCCUAAGGCGAGGCCGAAAGGCGUAGUCGAUGGGAAACAGGUUAAUAUUCCUGUACUUGGUGUUACUGCGAAGGGGGGACGGAGAAGGCUAUGUUGGCCGGGCGACGGUUGUCCCGGUUUAAGCGUGUAGGCUGGUUUUCCAGGCAAAUCCGGAAAAUCAAGGCUGAGGCGUGAUGACGAGGCACUACGGUGCUGAAGCAACAAAUGCCCUGCUUCCAGGAAAAGCCUCUAAGCAUCAGGUAACAUCAAAUCGUACCCCAAACCGACACAGGUGGUCAGGUAGAGAAUACCAAGGCGCUUGAGAGAACUCGGGUGAAGGAACUAGGCAAAAUGGUGCCGUAACUUCGGGAGAAGGCACGCUGAUAUGUAGGUGAAGUCCCUCGCGGAUGGAGCUGAAAUCAGUCGAAGAUACCAGCUGGCUGCAACUGUUUAUUAAAAACACAGCACUGUGCAAACACGAAAGUGGACGUAUACGGUGUGACGCCUGCCCGGUGCCGGAAGGUUAAUUGAUGGGGUCAGCGCAAGCGAAGCUCUUGAUCGAAGCCCCGGUAAACGGCGGCCGUAACUAUAACGGUCCUAAGGUAGCGAAAUUCCUUGUCGGGUAAGUUCCGACCUGCACGAAUGGCGUAAUGAUGGCCAGGCUGUCUCCACCCGAGACUCAGUGAAAUUGAACUCGCUGUGAAGAUGCAGUGUACCCGCGGCAAGACGGAAAGACCCCGUGAACCUUUACUAUAGCUUGACACUGAACAUUGAGCCUUGAUGUGUAGGAUAGGUGGGAGGCUUUGAAGUGUGGACGCCAGUCUGCAUGGAGCCGACCUUGAAAUACCACCCUUUAAUGUUUGAUGUUCUAACGUGGACCCGUAAUCCGGGUUGCGGACAGUGUCUGGUGGGUAGUUUGACUGGGGCGGUCUCCUCCUAAAGAGUAACGGAGGAGCACGAAGGUUGGCUAAUCCUGGUCGGACAUCAGGAGGUUAGUGCAAUGGCAUAAGCCAGCUUGACUGCGAGCGUGACGGCGCGAGCAGGUGCGAAAGCAGGUCAUAGUGAUCCGGUGGUUCUGAAUGGAAGGGCCAUCGCUCAACGGAUAAAAGGUACUCCGGGGAUAACAGGCUGAUACCGCCCAAGAGUUCAUAUCGACGGCGGUGUUUGGCACCUCGAUGUCGGCUCAUCACAUCCUGGGGCUGAAGUAGGUCCCAAGGGUAUGGCUGUUCGCCAUUUAAAGUGGUACGCGAGCUGGGUUUAGAACGUCGUGAGACAGUUCGGUCCCUAUCUGCCGUGGGCGCUGGAGAACUGAGGGGGGCUGCUCCUAGUACGAGAGGACCGGAGUGGACGCAUCACUGGUGUUCGGGUUGUCAUGCCAAUGGCACUGCCCGGUAGCUAAAUGCGGAAGAGAUAAGUGCUGAAAGCAUCUAAGCACGAAACUUGCCCCGAGAUGAGUUCUCCCUGACUCCUUGAGAGUCCUGAAGGAACGUUGAAGACGACGACGUUGAUAGGCCGGGUGUGUAAGCGCAGCGAUGCGUUGAGCUAACCGGUACUAAUGAACCGUGAGGCUUAACCUU